GAGUUUGCUGCGGUAACACGAAAACUGCUAAUUCUUCGUUCCCGUGGUUCAAUUCCACGGCUAACUCA
rnacentral:tRNA from 1 species